UUGAAAGGGAAACGAUUGAAGUCAGUCGUUCCGGUGGGUAAUCAGCCUUUUCGGGCGUGAUUAUGUGGGAGCGUGAGGAGGUUAAACGCCCUUCAUGCCUGCAUAUUCGUGUUCUUUGGGGUGUACUUACCCCGCAUGGUAGGUUAACGUCAAUUUCGAACGUCAUAAAAAGGUUGGGGGGAAUGUGGCUUCGAUCUCGUAUUGAAGUGUUAUUACCUCCGGCAGAUGUGAUGAUCGGGAUUGAGGAUUGCAACGGAUACCCUUCUGGGCUACCCGCCUGAUCUCUGAAAGUUGCUCUGGUGCCGAAAGCUCGCUUACGGUCAUCAAAGUUGACGUUCAACAGGUUAGAACGGGAUAAAUUCGUUAAGGAUGUUGACGUA
rnacentral:rRNA from 1 species